GCGGCAGGCUUACACAUGCAAGUCGAGGGGUAACAGGGUUCCUUCGGGAAUGCUGACGACCGGCGCACGGGUGAGUAACGCGUAUGCAACCUUCCUGUAUCAGGAGGAUAGGCCUUGGAAACGAGGAUUAAUACUGCGUAAAAUUAUUGUAUCGCAUGGUAUAAUAAUCAAAUCUACGGAGGAUACAGAUGGGCAUGCGUGCCAUUAGCUAGAUGGUAAGGUAACGGCUUACCAUGGCAAUGAUGGCUAGGGGUUCUGCAAGGAAGAUCCCCCACACUGGUACUGAGACACGGACCAGACUCCUACAGGAGGCAGCAGUGAGGAAUAUUGGUCAAUGGAGGCAACCCUGAACCAGCCAAGCCGCGUGAAGGAAGACUGUUCUAUGAAUUGUAAACUUCUUUUGUGACAGAGUAAAGAUAGCUACGUGUAGUUGUUUGCAAGUAUGUCAUGAAUAAGCAUCGGCUAACUCCGUGCCAGCAGCCGCGGUAAUACGGAGGAUGCAGGCGUUAUCCGGAUUUAUUAGGUUUAAAGGGUGUUCAGGCUGUCUGGUAAGUCAGAGGUGAAAGUCGGUUGCUUAACGAUCGAAUUGCCUUUGAAACUGUCAGACUUGAGUAUGGAUGUGGUAGGCGGAAUGUGUAGUGUAGCGGUGAAAUGCAUAGAUAUUACACAGAACCCCAAUUGCGAAAGCAGCUUACCAAACCAGCACUGACGCUGAAGCACGAAAGCGUGGGUAGCGAACAGGAUUCGAUACCCUGGUAGUCCACGCAGUAAACGAUGCUCACUCGCUGUUGGCAAUACACCGUCAGCGGCUAAGGGAAACCGAUAAGUGAUCCACCUGGGGAGUACGAUCGCAAGAUUGAAACUCAAAGGAAUUGACGGGGGCCCGCACAAGCGGUGGAACAUGUGGUUUAAUUCGAUGAUACGCGAGGAACCUUACCUGGGCUUAAAUGUGAAGUGCAUUGUUUGGAAACAGACAUUUCCUUCGGGACUCUUUUACAAGGUGCUGCAUGGUUGUCGUCAGCUCGUGCCGUGAGGUGUCGGGUUAAGUCCCAUAACGAGCGCAACCCCUAUUGUUAGUUACCAGCGCGUCAAGGCGGGGACUCUAACGAGACUGCCGGUGUAAACCGCGAGGAAGGUGGGGAUGACGUCAAAUCAGCACGGCCCUUAUGUCCAGGGCUACACACGUGU
rnacentral:rRNA from 1 species